rnacentral:rRNA from 1 species
AUUGAACGCUGGCGGCAUGCUUUACACAUGCAAGUCGAACGGUAACAGGCCGCAAGGUGCUGACGAGUGGCGAACGGGUGAGUAAUGCAUCGGGACGUGCCCAGUCGUGGGGGAUAACGCAGCGAAAGCUGCGCUAAUACCGCAUACGAUCUAUGGAUGACAGCGGGGGACCGUAAGGCCUCGCGCGAUUGGAGCGGCCGAUGUCAGAUUAGGUAGUUGGUGGGGUAAAGGCUCACCAAGCCAACGAUCUGUAGCUGGUCUGAGAGGACGACCAGCCACACUGGGACUGAGACACGGCCCAGACUCCUACGGGAGGCAGCAGUGGGGAAUUUUGGACAAUGGGCGCAAGCUUGAUCCAGCAAUGCCGCGUGCAGGAAGAAGGCCUUCGGGUUGUAAACUGCUUUUGUACGGAACGAAACGGCUCUGGUUAAUACCUGGGGCUAAUGACGGUACCGUAAGAAUAAGCACCGGCUAACUACGUGCCAGCCGCCGCCGUAAGAC